CCAAUAGCGUAUAUUAAAGUUGUUGCAGUUAAAAAGCUCGUAGUUGAAUUUCGGGAUCAAUAUAUCGGUCGUGCCUUUGGUACGUACUGGUAUCAUUGGUUUCUCCUUUCUGACGAACCAUGAUGUCAUUAAUUUGGUGUUAUGGGGAGUUAGGACUGUUACUUUGAAGAAAUUAGAGUGUUUAAAGCAGGUGUUAGCUUGAAUACAUUAGCAUGGAAUAAUGAAAUAGGACGUUCGAACCUAUUUUGUUGGUUUCUAGGAUCAACAUAAUGAUUAAUAGGGAUAGUUGGGUGCAUUAGUAUUCAAUUGUCAGAGGUGAAAUUCUUGGAUUUAUUGAAGACUAACUACUGCGAAAGCAUUUGCCACGGAUUUUUUCAUUAAUCAAGAACGAAAGUUAGGGGAUCGAAGACGAUCAGAUACCGUCGUAGUCUUAACCAUAAACUAUGCCGACUAGGGAUCGGAUGAUGUUAAUUUUUUAAUGACUCAUUCGGCGCCUUACG
rnacentral:rRNA from 1 species